CCAGCGGAGGGAUCAUUU
rnacentral:rRNA from 1 species